CUCUGAUGGCCGCAGAGAGUACAGGACGCCCGGGGAAGCCGUGCUGUCAGGCGGGGAUUGGGUGUUCCAGGUUCAUUAAAAGGCUUUUAAAGAUAAGAUAGACUUUGUUGAUGCUGGGGGGUCUUAAUAUUGUAAUAAUGCUAUUGUUAUUAUAAAAUCACAAUCUGCACUCGUGCUUCUCAGGAUUUAUUAAAAUACCGACGGACCUUUAAACAAUGACAGUGUUAUGUUUUACCACCCGACGGAGCCCAUGACCAGCUCCAUAAAGGCAUAUUGGGUAGCUGACGUGACGUGGAGUGAGAUCUGCCGGCGGAUGCAGGGCUGGAGUAUAAACUCCAACCAAGUCGGACAACUUCUACUCCUCGUAGUGUGUGAGACCUGACUGGCGUUUUUCGUGGCAGACGAAAUCGAGAUCGUGGAAAUCCCCGUGUUUUUGCAUGAAGAAUUUGGCGAACAGCGAAGGAUGUCAUCACCACACUUGGUCCUGUUUACCAAAAUCCCCUUAAAAGACAGUGUCCUGGCCUGUUUAUGGACCCUGGCAAAUCGAGUCCUACAGGGGUGUUGCAAGCCGCUUUAAUAUCAGCAAGUCCACUUUGAUGGUUCAUUGCCAUCGGUUCUGUGUGCUGAUAAACACACACAUGGCACAUCAUGCUACCGGGCCAGUGGGGGAAAGUCUUCACAGGUCAGAGUUGGGAUUUGCUAGGGCAGGUCUCCCAAGGACCGGAUUGGCUGUCGGCGGCUGCCACAUCCCGAUUAGGAAGCCGCACCUAGAGAACCCACUGGCAUACCUAAACCGAAAAAAAUAAUAAUCUAUCAUUCUGAUUGGGUACUGUGGCAGCCAGAGGAGAUUCUGCCUCCCUGGUAGCUGGCAUGAUGCUUUCCAGCACACAGCAGUUGCUCAGGCUCUGGCGGAGGAUCCCCGAUCCCUCAUGCCAGAGGGUCUGCACAUCAUUGCAGACUCAGCCUUCCCACUCUUGCCUCAGUUGCUGAAGCCGUACCGGGACAAUGGACACCUCACAGACAGGCAAAACAAUUAUAACAGGAGACUAAACGGUGCUUGUGUGGUCACUAAACAGGCAUUCGGACUAAAUUCCAAAUUCCGCCGACUGAAAUACCUGCAAAUGGACAGUAUUCAGAAGAUUAGUGCAGCAAUGUGUUCCUGCUGCAUCCUAUACAACCUGUCCUACGAUCCUGGGGAUCAGCACCCUGACAUAAUUAACAAUGAGGCCCUGGAUGAUGACAUUUAUCCACCUCAGCCUCAAAAUGAACAGGCACUUCAUUACAGAGACACAAUAUGCAAUAGUUUAUAAAGGCCGAACCGCAGCCAAACACACCCCUCAGCCUGUUACAUGUGCAACUGUUCAUAGAUAUUAGCUCCGCCUUCGACACAUUCAUCCCUCAAAAGCUGAUCGUGAAACUGAGUGGGUUAUUGGUUAGGCCUGAACACCACUCUCUGCAAGUGGAUUUUGGAUUUCCUGAGAGGCCUCAGUUUGUACAGUUAGGAUGCAACACCUCCAACACCAUCACGGUACAGGAGCUCUGCAGGGCUGCGUACUUAAUCCUCUGCUCACCACCCUGCUAACUUAUGACUGCAUACAGUAGCAGCACACAACACCAAUCACAUCAUCAAGUUUGCAGAUGAUGCUACUGUGCUGGAACUGAUAAGCAGGCACUGCAUACAGAGAGGAGGUGGAACGACUGUCCACAUGGUAUGGACACAACAACUUAUCUUUCAACAUUGAAAAGAGAAAAGAAAUAACUAUGGAUUUUAGAAAGACUUGUCCUGUCCAUACUCCACUCAGCAUGAACGGGUGUGCUGUGGAGACCGUAAGGAGUACCAGGUUCCUCGGUGUGCACAUUACUGAGGAACUUACAUGGACGGACACCCCCUCCUCCCUAACCAAGAAAGCCCAGCAGAGAUACUUCCUGCGGCGGCUGAAACGGGCGAGACUCCUCCCUUCCAUCCUCACCACGUUCCACAGAGGCACCAUCGACAUUAUUCUGACCAGCUGCAUCAAUACCUGCCUCCUGAACCUCUCCAAGUCUGGGCGUACAAGGGACUCCAGCACAGCACUUCUCCGCUCAGCAUGGGCUUCGUAUGACUCAAAGAAUGAUCCCGCUUGGCUUGCUGGCCUCCUACCCAGGACGCCAUC